CACUCACCAGGAAUGUAGAAGACACAACUUUAAUUUGAGCAAGCUCAAUGCAUCGUGACUCCCCAUUUCUGAUGUGAGAGCUGGUGUUCAGCGGAUGGAGGCAAGUGUGGGUGUACGAGGAGGAAUGGCUCUUUAAAUGAGGAACAUUUGAGAGGUUCCUUGAUAGGGUGCAGAAGCAUAAUGCUUGAAAAAGGAUGACAUACAUUUAUACAAAAUACAGCCAGAGGACAAAGAUGAGCCAAUUACUACUUAUUACUCCCAUCAGUAAUCCCAUUAGAAUCAGUCUGACUACUUCCGUG